rnacentral:lncRNA from 1 species
GGUUCCAAAGAUAAAAAUCCUUGUAAAAGAAAAUGAGGAAAUAUUUAAGAUGGUCAUAUUGUGGAGGCAAGUUCCUAAGAAGAGAAAAAAUAUAACUAAUAAAAAACCUAGAAGAGUUUUAGUUACCUGAAAACGGUGAUAACAAAGAAAUCUCGAUAAAUUAUGUUACUUUAGAAAAAAAAAAGAUGGAACAAAAAAAUAGUUGUCG